GACGAGGGAUCCUAGCGUUGUUCGGAAUUAUUGGGCGUAAAGGGUGCGUAGGUGGCUUGGUAAGUCAGGUGUGAAAGCCCCGAGCUCAACUCGGGAAGUGCAUCUGAUACUGCUAAGCUUGAGUACUGGAGAGGGUAGUGGAAUUCCUGGUGUAGUGGUGAAAUACGUAGAUAUCAGGAGGAACAUCGGUGGCGAAGGCGGCUACCUGGCCAUGUACUGACACUGAGGCACGAAAGCGUGGGGAUCAAACAGG
rnacentral:rRNA from 1 species